rnacentral:rRNA from 1 species
GAUGAACGCUGGCGGCGUGCCUAAUACAUGCAAGUCGAGCGAACGGACGAGAAGCUUGCUUCUCUGAUGUUAGCGGCGGACGGGUGAGUAACACGUGGAUAACCUACCUAUAAGACUGGGAUAACUUCGGGAAACCGGAGCUAAUACCGGAUAAUAUUUUGAACCGCAUGGUUCAAAAGUGAAAGACGGUCUUGCUGUCACUUAUAGAUGGAUCCGCGCUGCAUUAGCUAGUUGGUAAGGUAACGGCUUACCAAGGCAACUAUGCAUAGCCGACCUGAGAGGGUGAUCGGCCACACUGGAACUGAGACACGGUCCAGACUCCUACGGGAGGCAGCAGUAGGGAAUCUUCCGCAAUGGGCGAAAGCCUGACGGAGCAACGCCGCGUGAGUGAUGAAGGUCUUCGGAUCGUAAAACUCUGUUAUUAGGGAAGAACAUAUGUGUAAGUAACUGUGCACAUCUUGACGGUACCUAAUCAGAAAGCCACGGCUAACUACGUGCCAGCAGCCGCGGUAAUACGUAGGUGGCAAGCGUUAUCCGGAAUUAUUGGGCGUAAAGCGCGCGUAGGCGGUUUUUUAAGUCUGAUGUGAAAGCCCACGGCUCAACCGUGGAGGGUCAUUGGAAACUGGAAAACUUGAGUGCAGAAGAGGAAAGUGGAAUUCCAUGUGUAGCGGUGAAAUGCGCAGAGAUAUGGAGGAACACCAGUGGCGAAGGCGACUUUCUGGUCUGUAACUGACGCUGAUGUGCGAAAGCGUGGGGAUCAAACAGG